GCGAGACAGUGGCCCAUUGGCCGAGUGCGACCGAUAAACUGUUCGCGGUCGACGCCGGGCGCAGCCCCGCGCGUCGCCGCCAAUGAUCAGCCAGCAGCCGCUGCAACCACAGGGAG
rnacentral:sRNA from 1 species